UACGUAGGGUGCGAGCGUUAAUCGGAAUUACUGGGCGUAAAGCGUGCGCAGGCGGUUCGUUGUGUCGGUGGUGAAAGCCCCGGGCUCAACCUGGGAACUGCAUUUGAAACUGGCGGGCUUGAGUAUGGCAGAGGGGGGUGGAAUUCCGCGUGUAGCAGUGAAAUGCGUAGAGAUGCGGAGGAACACCGAUGGCGAAGGCAGCCCCCUGGGCCAAUACUGACGCUCAGGCACGAAAGCGUGGGGAGCAAACAGG
rnacentral:rRNA from 1 species